rnacentral:rRNA from 1 species
CGAAAGGCGGCCAACUCCCUACAAAUGCUUGUCUAUUGGGAGAUUUGGAACGAGAGAAAUGUUAGUGUCUUCUGUAACAAGGAGUCUCCGCCCACGAGAGUGGUAGCGAUAAUCAAGGAGGAGGCCAAGACGUGGGUGUUAGCCGGAGCUAGUUUUUUGGGUAAUAUAAAUCCGGGAGAGUGA